rnacentral:rRNA from 2 species
GGAUGCGAUCAUACCAGCACUAAAGCACCGGAUCCCAUCUGAACUCCGAAGUUAUGCGUGCUUGGGCGAGAGUAGUACUAGGAUGGGUGACCUCCUGGGAAGUCCUCGUGUUGCAUUCC